rnacentral:rRNA from 1 species
AUUGAACGCUGGCGGCAUGAUUUACACAUGCAAGUCGAACGGUAACAGGCCGCAAGGUGCUGACGAGUGGCGAACGGGUGAGUAAUGCAUCGGAACGUGCCCAGUCGUGGGGGAUAACUACUCGAAAGAGUAGCUAGUACCGCAUACGAUCUAUGGAUGAAAGCGGGGGACCGUAAGGCCUCGCGCGAUUGGAGCGGCCGAUGUCAGAUUAGGUAGUUGGUGGGGUAAAGGCUCACCAAGCCAACGAUCUGUAGCUGGUCUGAGAGGACGACCAGCCACACUGGGACUGAGACACGGCCCAGACUCCUACGGGAGGCAGCAGUGGGGAAUUUUGGACAAUGGGCGCAAGCCUGAUCCGGCAAUGCCGCGUGCAGGAAGAAGGCCUUCGGGUUGUAAACUGCUUUUGUACGGAACGAAACGGCUCUGGUUAAUACCCGGGGCUAAUGACGGUACCGUAAGAAUAAGCACCGGCUAACUACGUG